CUCGGAUCAGGUAGGGAUACCCGCUGAACUUAAGCAUAUCAAUAAGCCGGAGGA
rnacentral:rRNA from 1 species